CCUCGUUCAGGAUGCUGCGUGACAAACGUGACUUUGUUUACAACGCGUGCAGACCGUUUAAAAUACAGAUCCUGGAGAUGACAGCUCAGUGACUGUUUUAUAAAUCUAACUGAACGGCACAUAUUCCGACCCAUUAACAAACAGAAUAGACACAUGCUGCGAUAAAUGCAGGAAACGAGUGACCUGCGACUCACUGUAACCUUAAUUUUUCUGCAGCACAUUAACCAGAGGCUGAAACACAGAAACAGCUUGAAGGCCACAAGCUCGACUUCAACAGCAUACGGGAUGUGUUUGGACAGAAGCAGAGCUCUGGGACGUGUGGACAGACUUUGACUGUAAUGAUAGACGUCUGCUCAAGGACAGAAGCAUAACCGCUGCUGGACAUCGCUCUGGGUCUCAGGGGGGGACCCGAAUCAUCCUCACCCCUUCAUUCACACAACACUCACUCAUAUC